rnacentral:rRNA from 1 species
GUGGAUUAGAUACCCUGGUAGUCCACGCCCUAAACGAUGUCGACUGGUUGUUGGGGGUUUGACACUCUCAGUAACGAAGCUAACGCGUGAAGUCGACCGCCUGGGGAGUACGGCCGCAAGGUUAAAACUCAAAGGAAUUGACGGGGACCCGCACAAGCGGUGGAUUAUGUGGAUUAAUUCGAUGCAACGCGAAAAACCUUACCUACCCUUGACAUGUCCUGAAGCCCGGUGAGAGCUGGGUGUGCCCGAAAGGGAACGGGAACACAGGUGCUGCAUGGCCGUCGCCAACU